GUAAAAACACCUACGCAUGAUGUUGUAGGUGGACCGUCGUUUAAAGCAAUAGUCAUGCAUCACGGUCACAUUGUCCUAGUACUGUCAUAUUAACUCUGAGUAGAAAGGAUUACAUGCUGAAAUAUGAAGCUGUAUAUUAUGGGUCGCUUAUUACAGCUGUUCAUCAUUUUAUGAUGUCCUGUAACAUCUGCGGUCUGGCUGAGGGGGGAGUGCCGUGACAAUAUGUAUAGUAUAUAUCUUUCUGGACAACAGCGACAUACACACAGACAAGUUCACACCUCGCGCUGAGUCGUCUGCCCGGACAGAUCGCUGAUUACAGAUUGCUGAUUACAGAUUGCUGAUAUUACUGUAAGCUGAUGAAAACUAUGAAGGCUGCUAACCUAGUAGUGCUGUUGUGUAUUUUGGCUUCACUGACUCUGACUGUUAACUCAGCGCCUGUGGAUCCGACCCAAGUUCCUGUCAAGAAGCAGGUCACAGUGCCAGAUUGUGCGACCCUUAUAAAUGAGAAGAAGUUAUGUCCCAGGUAUUGUGGUUGCCUUGACUCCUGGAACAGGUGAUAAGUUUCACCGGUAUACAGAAUCUUCUGUGCCAAGAAUCAUCACUCUACAGACAUGUGUGAUAACAGCAUUUGUUUCUUAUGCUCAUAACACCUACAUUUAAUUUUCAUGUCUUCCAUUGAUAAAUUCAUUUUCUUUAUUCGCGUAGAUUGCAGAUUUUCAAUAAUGGCGGGAAAACU
rnacentral:sRNA from 1 species